rnacentral:rRNA from 1 species
GACGAACGCUGGCGGCGUGCCUAAUACAUGCAAGUUGAGCGCUGAAGGUUGGUACUUGUACCAACUGGAUGAGCAGCGAACGGGUGAGUAACGCGUGGGGAAUCUGCCUUUGAGCGGGGGACAACAUUUGGAAACGAAUGCUAAUACCGCAUAAAAACUUUAAACACAAGUUUUAAGUUUGAAAGAUGCAAUUGCAUCACUCAAAGAUGAUCCCGCGUUGUAUUAGCUAGUUGGUGAGGUAAAGGCCCACCAAGGCGAUGAUACAUAGCCGACCUGAGAGGGUGAUCGGCCACAUUGGGAGGGAGACAAGGCCCAAACUCCUACGGGAGGCAGCAGUAGGGAAUCUUCGGCAAUGGGCGAAAGUCUGACCGAGCAACGCCGCGUGAGUGAAGAAGGUUUUCGGAUCGUAAAACUCUGUUGGUAGAGAAGAACGUUGGUGAGAGUGGAAAGCUCAUCAAGUGACGGUAACUAGCCAGAAAGGGACGGCUAACUACGUG